UACAGAGGUCUCAAGCGUUGUUCGGAUUCAUUGGGCGUAAAGGGUGCGUAGGCGGCGCGGUAAGUCGGGUGUGAAAUCUUGGAGCUUAACUCCGAAACUGCAUUCGAUACUGCCGUGCUUGAGGACUGGAGAGGAGACUGGAAUUUACGGUGUAGCGGUGAAAUGCGUAGAUAUCGUAAGGAAGACCAGUGGCGAAGGCGGGUCUCUGGACAGCAACUGACACUCAACUACGAAAGCGUGGGGAGCAAACAGG
rnacentral:rRNA from 1 species